rnacentral:tRNA from 1 species
CUAUAUCUAACGAAAUCGGCAUUUUCCAUAACCGCUUGACGUGCGGAAGGUCAGCGGUUCGAACCCGUUAAUGUCCACCA